rnacentral:rRNA from 1 species
GUGGGGAAUAUUGGACAAUGGGCGAAAGCCUGAUCCAGCCAUGCCGCGUGUGUGAAGAAGGUCUUCGGAUUGUAAAGCACUUUAAGUUGGGAGGAAGGGCAGUAAGUUAAUACCUUGCUGUUUUGACGUUACCGACAGAAUAAGCACCGGCUAACUUCGUGCCAGCAGCCGCGGUAAUACGAAGGGUGCAAGCGUUAAUCGGAAUUACUGGGCGUAAAGCGCGCGUAGGUGGUUUUGUAAGUUGGAGGUGAAAUCCCCGGGCUCAACCUGGGAACUGCCUCCAAAACUGCAUGGCUAGAGGUCGGUUGAGGGUAGUGGAAUUUCCUGUGUAGCGGUGAAAUGCGUAGAUAUAGGAAGGAACACCAGUGGCGAAGGCGACUACCUGGACUGAUACUGACACUGAGGUGCGAAAGCGUGGGGAGCAAACAGGAUUAGAUACCCCUGUAGUCC